CUGGAUGGAUUCACCUUGUACAAGCGUAACAGACACGUGUCGUACACAAACCUUCCUCAGAUGGCCAGCAGAUGUGGCGGUGGAGUUGCUGUUUAUGUGCGAAACCACAUUCAGGUGCAUGAGAAACAGUAUUUGCAUAAUGUGACUGAUCUUGAGUUUGUAGUUCUGAAGGUUGAGGCUCCAGUCCAGGCACUGAUCGCAGCGGUGUACAGACCCCCCAGCUACAGUUUGAGGCGCUUCCUGGAAAACAUGGUAAGCCUUCUGGAUGCACUGGAGACGAUGGACUGUCACCCUGUAAUUGUUUGCGGCGACUUCAAUGAGAAUCAGCCACAGCAGAUUCUCCAUUCUGGUGUCAUGAGGACGUACUGGAGCUACCAUAACCCGGUGUUCUGCAUCGUUUCCACCAGUGAACCAUGAACAUGUCUGACGUGUGUACUCCAGACAGGAGACAUGUUCUCCUGUGUCCUCUGUGACAACUUCAUCCAGCACAACCAUCUGCAGAAGAUCUACACCAUCACACUUCUACAUCAUCUUCAUGAACUAUUGGUGCAAACAAGAGACACCACUGCUGGACCACACAGAGAAGUCUUCUACAUGCUGCCAUCCCAGUCUUUCUUCAAG